CAGGAAGUCCCGUACGAGCAUCCGGGAUUUCUAAGCAACCUGUUCCUCGUCGCCAAGAAAGGCGGAGGAGUUCGGCCGGUUAUCAAUCGCAAACGACUCAACGGAUUCCUUCGUUACCAUCACUUCAAGAUGGAAGGCAUACAUUGCCUCAGAGAUCUGCUUCAGCAAGGGGAUUGGAUGGUCAAACUAGACCUCAAAGACGCAUACUUGACUAUACCAAUGUCAGAGGAACAC